UACGGAGGAUGCAAGCGUUAUCCGGAAUUAUUGGGCGUAAAGCGUCCGCAGGCGGCUCAUCAAGUCUGCUGUCAAAGGCAGGGGCUUAACCCCUGAAAGGCAGUGGAAACUGGGGAGCUAGAGUGCAGUAGGGGUAGAGGGAAUUCCCGGUGUAGCGGUGAAAUGCGUAGAGAUCGGGAAGAACAUCGGUGGCGAAGGCGCUCUGCUGGACUGCAACUGACACUAAAGGACGAAAGCUAGGGGAGCGAAUGGG
rnacentral:rRNA from 1 species